CUGGUAGUCAUGACACAUGCUAGUCGAACGCCCUCUUCGGAGGGAGUGGCAAGACGGGUGAGUAACACGUGGGAACCUACCUAGGGGUACGGAAUAACUCGGGGAAACUCGUGCUAAUACCGUAUACGACCUUCGGGUGAAAGAUUUAUCGCCCCUAGAUGGGCCCGCGCUGGAUUAGCUAGUUGGUGGGGUAAAAGCCUACCAAGGCGACGAUCCAUAGCUGGUCUGAGAGGAUGAUCAGCCACACUGGGACUGAGACACGGCCCAGACUCCUACGGGAGGCAGCAGUGGGGAAUCUUGGACAAUGGGCGCAAGCCUGAUCCAGCCAUGCCGCGUGAGUGAUGAAGGCCCUAGGGUUGUAAAGCUCUUUCGCCAGGGAAGAUAAUGACGGUACCUGGAUAAGAAGCCCCGGCUAACUCCGUGCCAGCAGCCGCGGUAAUACGGAGGGGGCUAGCGUUGUUCGGAAUUACUGGGCGUAAAGCGCACGUAGGCGGCUAUCCAAGUUGGGGGUGAAAUCCCUGGGCUUAACCCAGGAACUGCCUUCAAAACUGGAUGGCUAGAGUCCGAGAGAGGUGAGUGGAAUUUCCAGUGUAGAGGUGAAAUUCGUAGAUAUUGGAAAGAACACCAGUGUCGAAGGCGGCUCACUGGCUCGGUACUUACCCUGAGGUUCCUCAG
rnacentral:rRNA from 1 species